rnacentral:rRNA from 1 species
CCUACGGGAGGCAGCAGUGGGGAAUAUUGCACAAUGGGGGGAACCCUGAUGCAGCGACGCCGCGUGGGUGAAGGAGUAUUUCGGUAUGUAAAGCCCCAUCAGCAGGGAAGAACAAUGACGGUACCUGACUAAGAAGCACCGGCUAAAUACGUGCCAGCAGCCGCGGUAAUACGUAUGGUGCACGCGUUAUCCGGAUUUACUGGGUGUAAAGGGAGCGCAGGCGGCGCGUUAAGCCUGGUGUGAAAGUCCGCGGCCCAACCGCGGGACUGCAUUGGGAACUGGCGCGCUGGAGUGCCGGAGGGGUAGGCGGAAUGCCUAGUGUAGCGGUGAAAUGCGUAGAUAUUAGGAGGAACACCAGUGGCGAAGGCGGCCUACUGGACGGUGACUGACGCUGAGGCUCGAAAGCGUGGGGAGCAAACAGGAUUAGAUACCCCUGUAGUC